CAGCAGCCACGGUAAUACAGAGGGUGCGAGCGUUAAUCGGAUUUACUGGGCGUAAAGCGUGCGUAGGCGGCUUUUUAAGUCGGAUGUGAAAUCCCUGAGCUUAACUUAGGAAUUGCAUUCGAUACUGGGAAGCUAGAGUAUGGGAGAGGAUGGUAGAAUUCCAGGUGUAGCGGUGAAAUGCGUAGAGAUCUGGAGGAAUACCGAUGGCGAAGGCAGCCAUCUGGCCUAAUACUGACGCUGAGGUACGAAAGCAUGGGGAGCAAACAGGAUUAGAUUCCCCGGUAGUCCCUGUCUCUUAUAC
rnacentral:rRNA from 1 species